rnacentral:lncRNA from 1 species
UUGCCGCCCCCAAUGGGUUCUUUAAUACUAUAGGGGGGGUAUAUUGAUGACAUACUGGUUAUGGUGGAAAAACCUAAUCAAGUCUUGGAUUUUCAUGAGAAGGUGUCGGAUGCUGCCCUGGGGUUGAAAUUGGUUAAGCGGAGAGAGGGUGAGGGGGAGGUUCAUUGUCUGGACAUGGGAAUUGGGAUAAUAAGAGAAGAGUGCGGAGAAGGGACACAUACAUCCUGCUUUUUGUCAAUGCUGAAUCGCAGAAACCUUGGUCCUGUAGAGUUGCCUCAUUUAAAGCUUUACUACAGAGGAUUGCCAC